rnacentral:rRNA from 1 species
UACGAAGGGGGCUAGCGUUGUUCGGAAUUACUGGGCGUAAAGCGUGCGCAGGCGGUUGUGCAAGACAGAUGUGAAAUCCCCGGGCUUAACCUGGGAAUUGCAUUUGUGACUGCACGGCUAGAGUGUGUCAGAGGGGGGUAGAAUUCCACGUGUAGCAGUGAAAUGCGUAGAUAUGUGGAGGAAUACCGAUGGCGAAGGCAGCCCCCUGGGAUAACACUGACGCUCAUGCACGAAAGCGUGGGGAGCAAACAGG